rnacentral:rRNA from 1 species
UACGUAGGGUGCAAGCGUUGUCCGGAAUUACUGGGCGUAAAGGGCUCGUAGGCGGCCAACUAAGUCGGACGUGAAAUCCCUCGGCUUAACCGGGGAACUGCGUCCGAUACUGGAUGGCUUGAGUUCGGGAGAGGGAUGCGGAAUUCCAGGUGUAGCGGUGAAAUGCGUAGAUAUCUGGAGGAACACCGGUGGCGAAGGCGGCAUCCUGGACCGACACUGACGCUGAGGAGCGAAAGCCAGGGGAGCAAACGGG